rnacentral:rRNA from 1 species
GUGGGGAAUAUUGCACAAUGGGCGCAAGCCUGAUGCAGCAACGCCGCGUGAGGGACGACGGCCUUCGGGUUGUAAACCUCUUUUAGCAGGGAAGAAGCGAAAGUGACGGUACCUGCAGAAAAAGCACCGGCUAACUACGUGCCAGCAGCCGCGGUAAUACGUAGGGUGCAAGCGUUGUCCGGAAUUAUUGGGCGUAAAGAGCUCGUAGGCGGUUUGUCGCGUCUGCUGUGAAAACCCGAGGCUCAACCUCGGGCCUGCAGUGGGUACGGGCAGACUAGAGGGCGGUAGGGGAGAUUGGAAUUCCUGGUGUAGCGGUGGAAUGCGCAGAUAUCAGGAGGAACACCGAUGGCGAAGGCAGAUCUCUGGGCCGUAACUGACGCUGAGGAGCGAAAGCGUGGGGAGCGAACAGGAUUAGAUACCCCUGUAGUCC